CUGAGGUUCAGUUCAUCUCACCUACUCAAUGUUCAUACCCUAGAAGUCCUGCUCUUGGACUUGGUUUAACUGCUGCUGUGGCCCUUAUGAUAGCACAAAUAAUCAUUAAUGUCACAAGUGGUUGUCUUUGUUGCAGAAGAAACCCUUAUCCUUCAAACUCUAAUUGGACAAUAGCCUUGGUCUGCUUUGUUGUUUCCUGUUGCUCAUUCCAGCUAAUUUUUCAAACUAUAGCACACUUCUGGUAGGACUCUGUAGAUGCUCUUGUUCCUGAUAGGCACAGAAUGUGUCAUAAAAUGAAUUAAGGUUGAAGGAGUUACCUCCAA